GACGAACGCUGGCGGCGUGCUUAACACAUGCCAGUCGUACGGUAAGGCCCUUUCGGGGGUCCACGAGUGGCGCACGGGUGAGUAACACGUGAGUAACCUGCCCACAACUUUGGGAUAACGCUAGGAAACUGGUGCUAAUACUGGAUAUGUGCUCCUGCUGCAUGGUGGGGGUUGGAAAGCUCCGGCGGUUGUGGAUGGACUCGCGGCCUAUCAGCUUGUUGGUGGGGUAGUGGCCUACCAAGGCGGCGACGGGUAGCCGGCCUGAGAGGGUGACCGGCCACAGUGGGACUGAGAGACGGCCCAGACUCCUACGGGAGGCAGCAGUGGGGAAUAUUGCACAAUGGGCGCAAGCCUGAUGCAGCAACGCCGCGUGCGGGAUGACGGCCUUCGGGUUGUAAACCGCUUUCAGCAGGGACGAAGCUUUUUGUGACGGUACCUGCAGAAGAAGCACCGGCUAACUACGUG
rnacentral:rRNA from 1 species